GAUGAACGCUGGCGGCGUGCCUAAUACAUGCAAGUCGAGCGAAGCGGGGACGGGUGAGUAACACGUGGAUAACCUCCUCUCAGACUGGGAUAACUUCGGGAAACCGGCUCUAAACCGGACACUUAUAUAUGGAUCCGCGCUGCAUUAGCUAGUGGGUAAGGUAACGGCUUACCAAGGCAACUAUGCAUAGCCGACCUGAGAGGGUGAGCGGCCACACUGGAACUGAGACACGGUCCAGAAUCCUACGUGAGGCAGGAUUAGGGCAUCUUCCGCAAUGGGCAAAAGCCUGAAGGAGCAAAGCCGCGUGAGUGAUAAAGGUCUUCGGAUCGUAAAACUCUGUUAUUAGGGAAGCGGUACCUAAUCAGAAAGCCACGGCUAACUACGUGCCAGCAGCCGCGGUAAUUC
rnacentral:rRNA from 1 species